rnacentral:rRNA from 1 species
CCAGCAGCUGCGGUAAUUCCAGCUCCAAUAGCGUAUAUUAAAGUUGUUGCAGUUAAAAAGCUCGUAGUUGAAUUUGUAGAUUUGUUUGAUGGUGUUGUUGAAAGACGAUGACUGUUUGAUGGGUCUAUUGUUGAGGAAAGGUGUAUGACAUUUGGUUGUUGUGCAGUGGAACUCGAGGUUUACUUUGAAAAAAUUAGAGUGUUUAAAGCAGACGGAUGUUUGAAUACAUUAGCAUGGAAUAAUAGAAUAGGACUGUGGUUCUGUUUUGUUGGUUUUUAGGACCAGAGUAAUGAUUAAUAGGGAUAGUUGGGGGUACUCGUAUUUCAUUGUCAGAGGUGAAAUUCUUGGAUUUAUGAAAGACGAACUUGUGCGAAAGCAUUUACCAAGGAUGUUUUCAUUA